rnacentral:rRNA from 1 species
UACGGGGGAUGCAAGCGUUAUCCGGAUUCAUUGGGUUUAAAGGGUGCGUAGGCGGGCUAUUAAGUCAGUGGUGAAAUCCUGCAGCUUAACUGCAGAACUGCCGUUGAUACUGAUAGUCUUGAGUUUGGUUAAGGUAGGCGGAAUGUGUAAUGUAGCGGUGAAAUGCUUAGAUAUUACACAGAACACCGAUUGCGAAGGCAGCUUGCUGGGUCAUUACUGACGCUGAUGCACGAAAGCGUGGGGAUCAAACAGGA